rnacentral:rRNA from 1 species
UUGUAUAUACCACAUUGAAAACACCGGUUCUCGUCCGAUCACCGAAGUUAAGCAAUGUCGGGCCCGGUCAGUACUUGGGAGGGUGACCACCUGGGAACACCGGGUGCUGUAGGCU